rnacentral:rRNA from 1 species
UACGAAGGGUGCAAGCGUUAAUCGGAAUUACUGGGCGUAAAGCGCGCGUAGGUGGUUCGUUAAGUUGGGAGUGAAAGCCCCGGGCUCAACCUGGGAAUUGCUUCUAAAACUGGCGAGCUAGAGUAUGGUAGAGGGUGGUGGAAUUUCCUGUGUGGCGGUGAAAUGCGUAGAUAUAGGAAGGAACAUCAGUGGCGAAGGCGACCACCUGGACUGAUACUGACACUGAGGUGCGAAAGCGUGGGGAGCAAACAGGAUUAGAUACCCCCGGUAGUCCCUGA